rnacentral:rRNA from 1 species
UACGUAGGGGGCUAGCGUUGUUCGGAAUUACUGGGCGUAAAGCGCACGUAGGCGGCUUUGUAAGUUAGAGGUGAAAGCCCGGGGCUCAACUCCGGAAUUGCCUUUAAGACUGCAUCGCUCGAAUUGUGGAGAGGUAAGUGGAAUUCCGAGUGUAGAGGUGAAAUUCGUAGAUAUUCGGAAGAACACCAGUGGCGAAGGCGACUUACUGGACACAUAUUGACGCUGAGGUGCGAAAGCGUGGGGAGCAAACAGG